rnacentral:lncRNA from 1 species
UGCUCAAAGUGGAAGUUAAUUGUUGAAAAUUAAUAAAUGGUGCUAAAAAAUUAAUUAAUGGUGCUAAAAAAUUAAUUUAAGGACAAAAAGUUAAUAAAACAUGUGGAAAAAAAUAUAGAAGCAUGUUGUAAAGAAAUAGAUUAAGGUUUGAAAAUAUGUUAAAAGCUAUAAUACAUGCCAUGAAUAAAAUAAAAUGUUCGACAAUAAUUUACUAGGCCGAAGGUCAAUUAAAGCAUCUGGAAUGUUAUUUCUAGGUGAUAAAACCAAUUUGUUAUUAAUUCUAAAUUAACAAUUUGUCUAAGUAAGAGCAAAAUCACAUAGUCCUAAGCGAUGUUUACCUACGAUGCAUAGAGCACGUAAAAAUACAUACAUCCCCGCCCCUCAUGCAGUCUCAUAUGAUUAUCAUUACAUCGAUGGCGUUUAUACAAUAUUACAUACCAAUAAAAAGAAGAAUCGACUAAACUAAAAGGGAAAAAUAUAAUCCCUCUCAAAUCCUCGAGCAACUAUUCAAUUUCCCCAAACCUGUUAAACACAGUGGCAUAGCAUGGCAAGCACAAAGAGGCUAACGAAAAUAUCAUGAUAUGGUUACAAACACAAAAUGACACAACAACGAUACAACACACAAAACACCAAGUAAUUCCUAUAGACAUGUUUUCUAACAUCAUCAUAUAAGGUAUUAAAUUAUGUCAUCAGAAAACUUACUGGUUGAAGAUAGCAAACAAUAAUAGGAAAAUCAAAUAAUACCGAAUGUCAGACACGAAUUGCCACGGAUAUAUUGAGACCAAAACUUUGAAGGUAGAAAUGCAACUCAGAAUAAAAUAAUUAAGUAACUUUGUUCCGUAUGAAAAAUAUAAUGUGUCAAGAGUAUCAAGAAUAUAAGUUCAAAAGAGGAAAGGGAGUGUAUAUUGUAAGUUCUAUAUUCUUAAGAGGAGAGAGAAUAUCAAUGUCUGUCUUUUGUAUACGAGAGAGUAGAGAGCAUUAGAAGUUGUCCCCAAAUAAUAAGAAAGGGUGUUGCUUAUAUAGUAGAAAAUGACAAUGAUAAACAAGGCAAAGAAUUAUAUCUUCUAUCACAAAAUCAAUCAUACUAUGACAACUAAGGUAAAAAAAAAUAUCCACUAUCACGAGGUCAGUAAUUGACUUAAAGAAAGGAAAGAAAUUAUCAAUUACACAAUUUCUUAUCCUCAGAUAUGGCAAAUUAAAUCAGUCAAAUUGUGGAUGGAUCAAUAUUUACCAUAAAUAGACAAGUACAAAAAAUCUUUCCAAAUCAAAAAAGGGUAAGAGAGUAAAAUAAAGAGAUCAUGAAAUACUAAAAACAUAAAGAUACCACAUAAUUUCAAAUCAAAAAUAAAUAUUCUAUUAAUUACCAUAAUCUCUAAUGUCUAUUUAAAAUAUACCAUAACUAAUUAUUAAGUAAGCUGGUCAAGAAAAAUAGUACGAGACCAUAGUAAAAUUUUAAAUUCAAUGAAGCGAAGAAUAAACAAAUCAAAAAUACCAAAGCUGCAACUUGAUUUUGGGAAAAAUAUAGUCACCAUACUCAGAAUUAAUGCUAAAACAAUACAAAUCAAGGCUUCAGUCAAUACACGAAUCAAACAAGAGCACCAUAAAAAACACAUAAGAAUAUAAAGAGAAAAACACUGAUUGAAACUUAACACUAGAUUUGCACCGAACCGGAUCUCCAAAAGAGAAAUAAAUAAUCAAACACACAAAUUAACACCAAAAUAUCAUCAUAGAAAUUGAAACCAUACGAGGUCAGUAACGAUCAAAUCAGUCCAAUUAAUAAAAUCAACCAAUUUAGUCUCUAAAUCAAUUUAUCAAAAUCAUGAGUACUAUGAAUAAAUGGCACAUUAAUCAGGACAAUAAAUGAAUACUAACAGAAAUCAUACCAGGAACAUCUUCAUAACAAUUAGUCCUAAAAUAAAGACAAAAAUAUUAAUUAAGGGGUCUUGAUGCUUUGUCUGAAAUUUACCUCGCCGGAAACUAUCAAAUUUUAUCAGAGAAAGAGUAUUUAUAGGACAAGAGAGUGUUGUGGAGUUCUUGAAUUUCUAGCCUGGGAGGAGAAACGACUCACUAAAGCAGUGGUGAACGGAGAAGGUGGUUGGGCAGUUUUCAUCGACCGAAAUUGCAACUAGCAUCACUAGAGGGACUUUUAGGGGUUGGUGGUGGCACUUACUGGUGGCGGGAGAGAAGAUGAUUAUUGGUGGGAAUAGGGACGGCGGCUGGCUGUUGAUAGAGCUUCGUUAGAUGGUGGGGCUAGAAUCACGGUGGUUAGAGUGGUGGUGGUCGGCGAUGUGGAAAGGGGAGCGAAGCUCGCUGAUGGUGGGAUAGUCGGCGGUGUCCAUGGUUGUUGAUGGAGAGGGGAAGAAAGUGUAGAGAGAGAGGAUGAGAAAGAGGGAGGCGGAUCAUCUCCAAAAUCC